rnacentral:rRNA from 1 species
UACGGGGGGGGCAAGCGUUGUUCAGAAUUACUGGGCGUAAAGCGUGCGCAGGCGGUUUUGUAAGCCGGAUGUGAAAUCCCCGGGCUUAACCUGGGAAUGGCAUUCGGGACUGCAAGGCUGGAGUGCGGCAGAGGAGACUGGAAUUCCUGGUGUAGCAGUGAAAUGCGUAGAUAUCAGGAGGAACGCCGAUGGCGAAGGCAGGUCUCUGGGCUGACACUGACGCUCAUGCACGAAAGCGUGGGGAGCAAACAGG